rnacentral:rRNA from 1 species
GUCUGAGCAAAACAUAAAUGCAAAAAAACUUUCAACAACGGAUCUCUUGGUUCUGGCAUCGAUGAAGAACGCAGCGAAAUGCGAUAAGUAAUGUGAAUUGCAGAAUUCCGUGAAUCAUCGAAUCUUUGAACGCAUAUUGCGCCUUUUGGUAUUCCGAGAGGCAUGCCUGUUCGAGCGUCAUU